rnacentral:lncRNA from 1 species
CCAAACAACCCUACCCCCCAAAGACCGUCUCAGAACCCCUCAUCUCUCUCUCUCUAUACCUCCGCUCCCUUAUGCCCAGAACCACCGUCGAAAAUCCAUAACGGCGGCGGACGGUCUCCAAACACCACCAAAUUUUCACCACAAACUCCCCUCACCUUCCUCAUCCUCAAUCCCUCAUCUAUUUUCUUAAUAAACCACCCGAGUUCCAAGAUUAGUGGAUCUAAAAUCUCAGAAAAACCUAGAUUUUUCCCCUUUUGAUUUCUUGAGUGAUUGCUAUUCGUUUUGGCUCGAAACCCACGUGAAUAGAUUGCUUUUGACAAGAGCAAUCGAUUUACAUUAGUUUUGAUUCAUUUCGAGAUCGUCUGGAGUCCGGCCAAGUCGUUGUUGACCGACCAGAUUUCAUUAUUCCCUGUUGCUUGUCGGAGAUCAUCUCGUCGUCUCAUUCACUGGAAUUUUCUUGCUAAACACUUGAUAUACUUCCCUUCUCUUCUCUGUAAUUUCAUCUACUUGCCGCAUCUUCUUGAUUUCUGUCCUAGCAAGCUUAGUCAGUAGUUUGGAUUAAUUAGUGGUUAAUUCACUUAGUGUUUAAUUGCAUUAUUUAAUCAGUAGAAUCACUGAUUUGAACUUGUUUUAGAGAAUGAUCAUUUUUAUUUUGAUCUUGCAUUCCAUAUGUGUUUUUUCGGUUUGGAUUUAGCUUCAUAGGAAUUUGAUCUACUUUAUUGGAUAACAAGCCCGUUAAUCUCAGACUGAUGAGGAAGGGAAGAACAUGGACUAGGUUCAUGGCUUUGAAAGCCCAGAUGUUCAAUAGUAAAUUGCUGUAGGUUAGAGGGGUACUAUAGGAUUUGGACUCAAGAGAAUCUCUGAGUAACUGACUAGAGGCUUCUAGAAGAGCUGAUAGGGACAUGAAUAACAAUAAAGAAAAGAAAGGGGUCGAGGGUGAGCAGGUAAUUACAGAAAAGAAAAAGGAUUUAAAGAAAGGGAAAUAACAGAAAAGGCAGCUGAGAAUCUUCUAUAAAACACAUUCUUCAUCCUCACACAAUUCACACAUUCACUCUCACCCUCGCUCAUCUCACUCACACCUUUACCCACACCUUUAGACACUCAUCGGAAGCAACUUGCAAUUUAAGAAAAAUCCAAAAUCUGCAGAACCACAAGCUUCAAAAAACCAGGAAAAAAAAGGAUUUCAAAAUCCACUUUGAAUUCCAUUGCACUGUUCUAUUAGUUUUCUGAAUUCUUGCUGGAUUUGAGAUUGGAUUCGAAGUUGUUUUGUUGUUUCUACUGUUGUGUUUUGCUGUUUAGUAGCUUGGAUUCAUCUUUAGCUUCCUUGACCUUCACGGAGACUGAUUCUGUUAUUUUUUCCUGCAAUUAGGUAUGUGAUACUUUACCUGUGACUGCCAUCGAAAUAUAUAGAUGAAGAUCUGAAUUGUUCAUGUUGUAUCUAUGCUUAAAUCUUCUGUAUUCAUUAUGUUUGACCUCCAGAUUUGUCGAUACUUGUUUUUUAUUGAGAAUUGAGAUUAAUUAUUUGUCUAAAUUAAAAUUUUGAUUCAAUAUUGUUCCCUGACUGUGCCUAAUUACUCUCUGAACAACGAACUAAUUUCAUGAGGCAUUUGAGGAUUAAAAUUACUUAGAUCGAUGCACAGGUUUAUGAGGAUAGCAUGUUAAAGCACAAAUGCCAGAUGGCUACUUGUUGAGCUAGUUUGCAGAUCAAGUCAUUUAGUCUUAUUUAACUAGUCCUAGGUGUUCGACCGUGGUAAUUUGAAAUCUGCUUAGUUUAGAAUUUGAAGGCAAGUAUAAAUGUCAUGAUGAUUAUUGUAUCUGAUUUCUAUUUCUGUGUAUGUAAAACAAAAGUUAGUGAUGAAUCUGUCAAAUUCUGAGUAAUGGUUAUUAAAACUAGUGGUCACAAUUGUAACUGGAACGAUUGUCUAGACUGAUAGGACCUGUGUUUUUUGGGUUCGAAAUUGAAAACCUGGAGCCCAAUACUCUGGUCAUUCAAUGGUACAAGAGUCAAUUGGACUCUACAUCUACAAGGCCCAACAAUUUCUAGGCCCAUAUAGGACCUGUUGGUCCAUUGAAAAGGCUGAUCACUCUAAGAGCCAUAUUUUUGGGCUUUAAUUGACCCAUUUCUAUCUUACUAGACCCAUGGGAGGUCUGGUAUAACUUCCUAACUAUCACAACCCCAAAACCCAACCUGUCGUGAUGGCGCCUAUCAUGGUACUAGGCAAGUCGACUACUCAGACAAUUCCAACACUUUCAACUUUGAAAUAUACUAAAACAAUUUAUAUAAAUAGAAAUCUCAUAAAACGGGGUAGAAUAUCAUAACUCAAUACAUAAGUUUUUUCCAAAACUGGGGUGUCACUGAGUACAUGAGCAUCUAUAUAAUGACAUAGUCUAGUACACUGUCUGGAAAAUAGAAUUGAAAUAAUAAACUGAAAGACAGGAAAGGAGAGUCGAGGUCUGCGGACGCCAAGUAGUUACCUCGAUGAUCUCCGAAUGUUUGAAAUUCGUGAAUCAGCAAUCGUCGUGACCGGAAACACCAGGAUCUACACAAGAGGUGCAGGGUGUAGCGUGAGUACAACCAACUCAUUAAGCAACAAAUCUAACCUUUGGACUGAAAGUAAUUCAUUUCAACCCUCUUACAGAAUUAACAAAACCGAAAGUUAUAGAAAAUAUGGUAGUGAUAUAUCAGUAAUUCAUAACCUACAGAUAAUGGUACAAGUAUUUAGACAUGCUUUCAGGUAUUUUUUGCAAUAAAACUUAACACAAAACAUGGCAGAUCCAGCCUAGGGCAGAUCCAACCCAAAUGCAAAUAAACCAGGAAAGAUCCAGCCCAACUAUAAAUAACUGCUAGCAUUGCGCCCCCUGUGGAUGUGCGGACUCCGGAGGGGCCGAUCUAGCCCAAGCGCUAUAAUAAGUCAAAUCCUGACAUGAAUCAAUAAAACUUGCUGCAGUGUGCAGCCCGAUCCAAUGAAUAUGACUCACAAAUGACCCUCAGUCUCACUCAGUCAUUAAUCUCUCCAGUCUCUCGGGUUCACCAUAAUCAUGAUAAUCAGCCCAAACAAUAAUAAUAUGAUGUAUUAAAUAAAGGACAACAGAGUCUGAGACAUGUUAUGCGAAUAAUAGCUAUGACUGAGUACAAAUCGACAAAUUAAGCAAAUAAUUCAACAUGUAACACGACCUCUGUGGGUCCCAACAGUACCAAAACUAAGUAAGAAUCACAUACCCCAAACACUCCCUUGAAAAUCACUUCAAGAACCGCCUCAAACCGAGCUCCCAAAAUCAAAUUUGUGAUAUGAGCUCAAACCCUCGUUUUGAAAUAUUUACGUUUAUGCCCAGACAUCCCUUCAUCGCGAUCGCGAGAAAUCCUUCGCGAUCGCGAAGCACAAUACAGCUGCACAGAAAAUUCACCUUACGUGAGUGCGACACUACACCUGCGAACACAAACCACUGCUUCCUCAAACCUAUGCGAUCGCGUCCCCCUCCACGCCAUCGCAAAGAACAAAUGUGUGUGAACCCAGCUGCCUCCUUUCCUCUUCGCGAACGCGACCUCAGCCACGCUUCCGCGAUAAAUUAAAUGCUCCAGCUUACGCGAUCGCAACCCUCUUUUCAUGAAUGCGUAGAGCAAAAUUCACCACUGUCCAAAUAGGCCUACACCAUCGCGGACCUGUCCACGCAAUCGCAUAUAAGGAAACCAUAUUAGAGACACCAGAAAACUUCAGCUAACCUCCAAGUCCAAAAUUGAUCUGUUAACCAUAUGGAACUCACCCGAGGCCCCCAGGACCUCAACCAAACAUACCAACAAGUCCCAAAAAAUCAUACGAACUUAGUCGAGCCUUCAAAUCACAUCAAACAAUGCUAAAACCAUGAAUCGCGCAUCGAUUCAAGCCUAAUGAACUUAUGAACUUCCAACUUCUACAUUCAAUGCCAAAACCUAUCAAAUCACAUCAAAUUAACCUCAAAUUUUGUACACAAGUCACAAAUGACACAACGGACUUAUCCAAUUCCUGGAACCCCAAUCCGAGCCCCGGUAACCACAAAGUCAACUCUCGGUCAAACUUCUAAAUUGCCAAAGCUUCUAAUUUUCAAGUUUCAUCAUUUCAAGCCAAAUUCAACUACGGACCUCCAAAUCACUAUCCGUACACACUCCUAAAUUCAAAAUCACCCAACGGAGCUAACGAAACCAUCAAAAUUCCAUUCUGGAAUCGUUUAUACAUAAGUCAAUAUCCGGCCAACCUUUUCAACUUAAGCUUCCAACCUUGAGAUUAAGUGUCUCAACUCAUUCUGAAACAUCCCCGGAACCGAACCAACUACCCCGAAAAAUUAUAUAGCAACUAAUAAGCAUACAAUGAGUGAUAAAUGGGGGAACGAGGCUAUAACUCUCAAAAUGACCGACCGAAACGUUACACUAACCAAACACAGCCCAUUAUAUUAUUAUUAUCCAUGUUGCAGUCCAUGUUUGAAUUAGUUAAUUAAGAGGAGAACAUUCAAGCUGUUUGACGUAGUUUCUUUCUAUAACUUAAGGCUGUAAUUCGAAACCAUAUCUAAAUAAACCAUGUUAUCAUUUCCAUGCACUUCAACAAUUACGAAUAGUCUUUGUAUAUUCCUUAAGAUUCAUGUCCCUAUAACUCUAAUCACAAAUGAAUUCCAUAAAUCUUGGAACUUUCACACAUAAUCCCCAAAUUAGAAAAGAAACAACCUUUGAGCAUGCGUAGUUGCUUUAGGCAUGCUUUUAAUAAUUCGUCAUGGUUAUGGGUACGAUUCCCGUGGUAUAACUUUGACACUUAAUCCCAAAUUCAAAUGCACGUUCGCGUGACUUGACCCCAACUUUAAAGUAAUAACAAAAAUAAACAUGUCGUAAAUUGUGGGUGUAUUUCACGCGGCGCGGUUUGCGAUGUGUAUAAAACGACAAGUAUACAACAUCGUAACUUGUUCAAAUAAAUUCCAUAAAUACUUAAAAUAGCCAAAAUAUGUGUUAAAAGUGGUAUGAAAGGUAAAUGCGCAUAGAUUCUAAACACGUAAUAAUUUAGAUAAUUAAGCCGAGUGUAAUCGUAAAGCGACCGUGCUAAAAUUACGGAAUCCAGAAGUGCCUCACACUUUCUCCCGGUUUAACAGAAUUUCUUACCUGGUCUUUUGUGUUCACAGACUUCAAAUUAGAGUCAAUUUUCCUUGAAUUAUGACUUAAAAUAAAUGGCGACUUGGGAUGCCGUAAAUAAUUUAUUCCAAGCGGCGAUUCUAUAAAAAUAAAUAAAACCAAUCCCAUUUCAAAUAAUAUCACUUAAAUUGCUAAUAAUAUCAACCGCACGGACAACUCACGUGUUGUAAUAUCAAUAUCUGGACCUCAUGCACGGAUAACUCACGUGUUGCACGACAACUCAUGUGCUAAUAUUAUCAAUCCGCACGGACAACUCACGUGCUAAUAUCACAAUCCGCCCGGUGUGGUCACAUGUUCAACAUCACAAUCUGUCUGGUGUGGUCACAUGCAUAACAACACAAUUCGUCUGGCGUGGUCACCGGCAUUCAUUCCAAAUCAUAUCACACAGAAGCAAAUAUACAAGAAUACAUAUAUGUGAUCAACGAAUAUCAGAUUUCAUGCUCCUGGACUGGUAUAAGUGACAUGCUAAAAUGUAUGCAUGUGCAAAGUUUGCUAUCAUAGCUCAAAUCGAUAAUUUCAUCACAUAAAUAACAAGUCCAAGUUUAUUCAGGGAAUUAGCUUCUUCGUAACCUCAAACAUGGUUCUAAUAGUUCACAACAAUAACCCUCAGGUGUUUGGCCUGGUUGCAGGUUGUGAGUAUUUCUAGGAGGUUGGAGGGUAUGCUUGCUCGGGAGAGAGAGAGGAGAGGGAGGCCAAGAGGUCUCGAGAGUCUGGCACUUAUAGUGGUACUCGUGCCCCAGCUGCAGUUCGCCAUGGUAGGGGCUAUGUCAUUCAACCCAUUCAUUCAGCUCUUCCAGCCGCCAAUGAUAUUUCGGCCCCUUCUAAGCCCCAUGAGCCUUAUUAUGCACCGCCAGUAUAUAGUGAACCUCCUGCAUGGGGUGCUUUUAGCGGUCAGUCCAGUAGACCUGGCCCGAAUCAGUCACAACAUCCACGCCCUCUGAGAGCUUGUUUUGAGUGUGGUGACACUCGCCAUAUGGUGAGGGAUUUCCCCAGACUUAGGAGGGGUGCAGCUCCAUAGACUUCUCAAGCACCGCGUGCUCCAUCGGGUCCUCAGGCUAUGAUUACAGUGCCAGCUACCGCUCCACCUACUCAGCCAGCUCGAGGUGGAGGUUGGGAAGGUCAAGGUCACCCUAGAGGGGGAGGCCAAGCCAGAUAUUAUGCUCUUCCUGCUCGUACAGAGGUAGUUGCCACCGACUUUAUCAUUACAUGUAUUGUUCCGGCGUGUCAUAGAGAUGCAUCAGUUUUAUUUGAUCCAGGCUCCACUUAUUCCUAUAUGUCCUCUUAUUUUGCUCUGUAUUUGGGCGUAGCCUGUGAUUCUUUGAGUUCUCCUAUUUAUGUGUCUACACUUGUGGGAGAUUCUAUUGUUGUUGAUCGUGUAUAUCGUGUUACACCCUAUACACCCCAAGGUGACGUAUAAUGAAUAUAACACUUGUUAAUCAAUAUUUAAAUUAGUUUAAAGUCAUAAUAUGACUAUAUAUGAUAUUUGAAUAGAAAAUAUAAAGUUUGGAAAAAAUCGGAUUUAAGUUGCGGAUAAACCGACUAAGGAUUUGCCUUGUAAUAAAGCUUUUUGAGAAAUAAAUUUUGUGUGCUAUAUGAGGUAUUUUGGGGACAUUAUAUACAACAUUGAAGGCCUUGGGAUGUAGUUUCCAACGCACUUAACCGUUCGUUCAUACGACAUCCCGAUAAAAAGAUAUAAGCAUCGGAACAUGGACCAAUGCGAGGGUGCCAAGCUAGCACCUCUUUGACUUUUCAAAAGUUGAUAUAUAUAUAUCUUAACUCGUCUCUCUCUUCACUUUUACAUAGAACCCGACCAGAAAACACCAUAAAACCUAUCCUUGAGCUCUCUAAUAAGGUUUCAAAGAAUACUAACAUCCCAGGUACGAAAUUGAGAAGCGAUAACAUCAGAAUGAUCCCUACGACGUAAGUACCAUUAUACUGCAUCUCUUUUUUCUUUGUAGUUCGAGUUUUGUAAGGUGCUUCACAGUUAAGAAACGUCUAAUUUCUGUAUUUAAGUGUUUAAAUAUCAAGUAAUGUUGAUAAAUUGGUUUCCUAAUAGUUAGAACUCACGGGACGGUGAUCGGAAGCCGUGAGUUUGAUUUUUUCCCACUUUUAGUGGACUGUUUUGUAGUCCACUUGUGUUGCCCUAUUGCGUUGUUGAUUUAUGGAGCUUGGAAGGAUAAAGAGGCGUGAAGAAACGUCACAUAUGGUAAGGUAGUAGGUUGGUCGCUCGUCAUUGCAGUUUCACGUAAUUGAUAACUUGUUGAUUGGGUGUGUUAUGGUAUAUUUGGAGGUUUUGUUGUAUUGAAAGUCCCGAAUUGCAGUUAGGUUGGUUUUGAGUUGAUGAUUGUAUUGUGUUUGUAUCUCGCCUAUAGUAGGCUUGAGGGAUCAGUAAAAUCAGGGGAAAUGCUGCCAGAUUUAUUUUAGAAUCGAGUUAUCGUUUGAGAUACGUAAUAUACUAGCGCCAUCUAAGUCGUACAUGCAUUUCUUUGUUAUAGGGUUGGUGCGCUAGUUAUCAUAAGCUUGUUGUUGAAUUGCAUUGACGACUUGAGGUAUGUUAAGGCUAUCCCUUCUUUCUUUUUGGAAUGAUCCAUAUGAUACAACGAAACGAGCAAGCAGACAACUUUCAUAAAUAAUUCUAUUAGUACUAGGGUUGCCUAUGUUCUUGAUUCCCCAUAUGUCCUACUAUCAUAUCGUCUGUUCACGGGUCUCAUGAAAUUCCGAGAGAUAUUAUAGACUUACUUCAUUAUACAUUGCAUAUAUUUAUACAUGUAUAUUAACUGAUGACCAGAUGAUGUUACAUAUGCGUAUAGUAUAUGUAUAUUGGGUAUGGGGAAAGGUUAUGGCGUUAUAUACGCACCACCACCUAAUCAUCUGGUAUACGUUUAUGAUUUCACCUACAGAGGCUGAUAUGAUAUGAUGAGAUGUCUUCAGAGGCUUGAUAAUGUUAUGUACGCAUAUACUUAUGCAUGAUAUGACAUUUAUACAUAUACGUAUGACAUUAUAAAUGUUUCAUGAUUCACAGAGCUAUUCAUAUUUACAGGUUGAUUCCUUUACUCCAUCAUUCUUUCAUGUUUGUUAUAUACUAAUUUUUAUGCCUUACAUACUCGGUACAUAAUUCAUACUGAUGCCCCUAUUGCUUGGGGGCCUGCAUUUCAUGCCCGCAUGCGCAGGUAGACAGGUUGACGGUCCCCCAUCAUAUGAUCCUUUCUGAGCGAGAGUUGGUGUGCUCUAUUUGAUGCGGAGCUACUAUUGAGUUUUAGUACGAUACCUUUGUAUACAUAUGGGUAUGACGGGGCCCAGUCUAGUCAUUUAUAUAGUUGUACACUCUGUUAGAGAUCUGUAGAUAGUCAUAUAUAGUUGGAUAGUGUGUGGCCUUGUCGGCUCGUCAUAUCGUAUUCCGUAU